rnacentral:rRNA from 1 species
UGGGAGAUGUGGUGUAGUAAGGCUCGGUUUAUGGUCCGGUUUGGUGAAGUUGAAUUGAACUGGAAUGUUCAGCCGUAGAGGGUGAAAGCCCCGUAAAUGUAAACUGAUUUGGAUUGGAUUGAGUUCUUGAGUAGCGUCGAUUGGAAAUUCGGCGUGAAUUUGGGAGGCAUCGACUCCUAAUUCUAAAUACGUCUCAAGACCGAUAGUGUACUAGUACCGUGAGGGAAAGUUGAAAAGAACCCCUAAUGGGGGGUGAAAAGAACCUGAAACCAGAUGGUGACAGCCAGGCACGGCAUGGAAGGAAUGAAGUUCUUCGAAAGAAACUGUGGUAACAUGGGAUUAUGAGUUGAA